GACCACGAAAAGGAACUGGGAGGAGUCCCUCUGGAAUGAGCAGCUCUGAGUUAAGAAAAUCAGAACAAUAUUUUUUUUGGGCAAUUCUAAUAUGCACUCUCACUCGAAGAAAUGUCGCUUUGAUACAGAGGUGAUGUUCUUGGAUUUUUAAAUGUCAAGACUUUGUUACAAGGUUCCUUCCCUUGGUCUAGCCUUAGUGAGAACACCUCUAUCUGAAAUAUUGAUCUUCCAGGUUGAUGGAAUGAAGGAACAUAUUCCUUUAUGUCACUCAGGCUUCUUCCAUGAAUAGAGUCAUGUUAUGAUCCUUUUUUCCUUGAUGUGGCUGGACUAUCUAGGUGCCUAUUCACUCCACAUUUUUUAAGGUGGAAGGUUUCACUG
rnacentral:misc_RNA from 1 species